rnacentral:rRNA from 1 species
UAAUACGUAGGGAGCAAGCGUUGUCCGGAUUCACUGGGUGUAAAGGGUGCGUAGGCGGGACAAUAAGUCAGUGGUGAAAUCUUACGGCUCAACCGUGAAACUGCCAUUGAUACUGUUGUUCUUGAGUUCGGGAGAGGUUGAUGGAAUUCCAGGUGUAGCGGUGAAAUGCGUAGAUAUCUGGAAGAACACCAGUGGCGAAGGCGGUCAACUGGCCCGAAACUGACGCUGAGGCACGAAAGCGUGGGGAGCGAACAGGAUUAGAUACCCUGGUAGUCCACGCCCUAAACGAUGAAUGCUUGGUGUUGGCCGGAAACGGUCAGUGCCGGAGGUAACCUGGUAAGCAUUCCACCUGGGGAGUACGCUCGCAAGGGUGAA